CCCUUAGAUGUCCUGGGCCGCACGCGCGCUACACUGAUGCAUUCAACGAGUCUACCUUGGCCGAGAGGCCUGGGCAACCUUUUAAACGUGCAUCGUGAUAGGGAUAGAUUAUUGCAAUUAUUAAUCUUGAACGAGGAAUUCCUAGUAAACGCAAAUCAUCAAUUUGCAUUGAUUACGUCCCUGCACUUUGUAUACACCGCCCGUCGCACCUACCGAUUGAAUGGUCCGGUGAGGACUCGGGAUUUUUACCAGUUUCCUUCAUUGGGAAUUGGUGAGGAGAACUUGUCCAAACCUUAUCAUUUAGAGGAAGGUGAAGUCGUAACA
rnacentral:rRNA from 1 species